rnacentral:rRNA from 1 species
UACGUAGGGGGCUAGCGUUGUCCGGAAUCAUUGGGCGUAAAGCGCGCGUAGGCGGUCAGGUAAGUCCGGUGUGAAAGUCAUAGGCUCAACCUAUGAAUGCCGCUGGAAACUGCCUGACUUGAGUCCGGAAGGGGCGAGUGGAAUUCCUGGUGUAGCGGUGAAAUGCGCAGAUAUCAGGAAGAACACCCGUGGCUAAGGCGGCUCUCUAGUACGGUACUGACGCUGAGACGCGAAAGCGUGGGGAGCGAACAGG